rnacentral:rRNA from 1 species
GACGAACGCUGGCGGCGUGCUUAACACAUGCAAGUCGAACGAAGAGCGAUGGAAGCUUGCUUCUAUCAAUCUUAGUGGCGAACGGGUGAGUAACGCGUAAUCAACCUGCCCUUCAGAGGGGGACAACAGUUGGAAACGACUGCUAAUACCGCAUACGAUCUGACCUCGGCAUCGAGGAUGGAUGAAAGGUGGCCUCUAUUUAUAAGCUAUCACCGAAGGAGGGGAUUGCGUCUGAUUAGCUAGUUGGAGGGGUAACGGCCCACCAAGGCGAUGAUCAGUAGCCGGUCUGAGAGGAUGAACGGCCACAUUGGGACUGAGACACGGCCCAGACUCCUACGGGAGGCAGCAGUGGGGAAUCUUCCGCAAUGGACGAAAGUCUGACGGAGCAACGCCGCGUGAGUGAUGACGGCCUUCGGGUUGUAAAGCUCUGUUAAUCGGGACGAAAGGCCUUCUUGCGAAUAGUUAGAAGGAUUGACGGUACCG